rnacentral:rRNA from 1 species
GAUGAACGCUGGCGGCGUGCCUAAUACAUGCAAGUCGAACGAAGAUCUAGCUUGCUAGAUCUUAGUGGCGAACGGGUGAGUAAUACAUAAAUAAUCUGCCCAUAUGACUGGGAUAACUAUUGGAAACGAUAGCUAACACCGGAUAGGUUGAUUGGAGGCAUCUCUGAUUAAUUAAAGUAGGAUUUCUACACAAAUGGAUGAGUUUAUGGCGCAUUAGUUAGUUGGUGGGGUAACGGCCUACCAAGACGAUGAGGCGUAGGCGACCUGAGAGGGUGACCGGCCACACUGGGACUGAGACACGGCCCAGACUCCUACGGGAGGCAGCAGUAGGGAAUUUUCGGCAAUGGGCGCAAGCCUGACCGAGCAACGCCGCGUGAGUGAUUAAGGCCUUCGGGUUGUAAAGCUCUGUUGUAAGGGAAGAACAUUCAGGAUAGGAAAUGAUCUUGAACUGACGGUACCUUACCAGAAAGCCACGGCUAACUACGUGCCAGCCGCCGCUGUAA